GGUACGGGGUUAUUUGGACUACAAGAUCAAACCAGAUUAUAGAACAGGACUUGAUAAGUAAUGGUCAACAAAUUGGGAUUCAUUUAUCAACAAAUUUUUUUCUUCCAUUUGAACUCAUUUCUAUAAUUCUUUUAGUUGCUUUAAUAGGUGCAAUUGCUAUGGCGCGUCAGAUUCAGUGAAAAAAAAUACUUAGAAUUAGAAAUCCAAAUAAAUCAAAAUUAAUAAGAAAUAAGCUUAUUUCAUGUUUUAAAAUGAAAUGUUUUUAGUUCAAU